GGGGCAGUAUCUCAGUUGUAAGAGCAUAAGACUGUAGCAUCAAGAGUCACAAGUUCAAUCCUUGGCAACUCCA